AUGCACGCUGGCGGCGUGCCUCAUACAUGCCAGUCGCGCGAACAGAUAAGGAGCUUGCUCCCUUGACGUUAGCGGCGGACGGGUGAGUAACACGUGGGUAACCUACCUAUAAGACUGGGAUAACUUCGGGAAACCGGAGCUAAUACCGGAUAACAUUUGGAACCGCAUGGUUCUAAAGUGAAAGAUGGUUUUGCUAUCACUUAUAGAUGGACCCGCGCCGUAUUAGCUAGUUGGUAAGGUAACGGCUUACCAAGGCAACGAUACGUAGCCGACCUGAGAGGGUGAUCGGCCACACUGGAACUGAGACACGGUCCAGACUCCUACGGGAGGCAGCAGUAGGGAAUCUUCCGCAAUGGGCGAAAGCCUGACGGAGCAACGCCGCGUGAGUGAUGAAGGGUUUCGGCUCGUAAAACUCUGUUAUUAGGGAAGAACAAACGUGUAAGUAACUGUGCACGUCUUGACGGUACCUAAUCAGAAAGCCACGGCUAACUACGUG
rnacentral:rRNA from 1 species